GUUGUGCGGCAGCAUAGGACUGAACUGUGGGAGAACUUAUAUGACUCUAUCCCUUUCCAUUCUUAUGCUGCUUUGGAG
rfam:Haemonchus contortus, ISE/inbred ISE, WGS project CAVP01000000 data, contig: Hcontortus_37658